rnacentral:pre_miRNA from 1 species
AUUAUACUCCCUCCGUCCGAAAAUACUUGUCCUCGAAAUGGUUGUAUCUAGACUUAUUUUAGUUAUAGAUACAUUCAUUUUAUCCAUUUUGAAGACAAGUAUUUCCGGACGGAGGGAGUAUUAA